CCUACGGGAGGCAGCAGUGGGGAAUCUUGCGCAAUGGGCGAAAGCCUGACGCAGCAACGCCGCGUGCGGGAAGAAGGCUUUCGGGCUGUAAACCGCUUUCAGCAGGAACGAAAAUGACGGUACCUGCAGAAGAAGGAGCGGCCAACUAUGUGCCAGCAGCCGCGGUGAUACAUAGGCUUCAAGCGUUGUCCGGAUUUAUUGGGCGUAAAGAGUUCGUAGGCGGUCGAGUAAGUCGGGUGUGAAAAUUCUGGGCUCAACCCAGAGACGCCACCCGAUACUGCUUGACUUGAGUUCGAUAGGGGAGUGGGGAAUUCCUAGUGUAGCGGUGAAAUGCGCAGAUAUUAGGAGGAACACCGGUGGCGAAGGCGCCACUCUGGAUCGAUACUGACGCUGAGGAACGAAAGCAUGGGUAGCAAACAGGAUUAGAUACCCUGGUAGUCCAUGCCGUAAACGGUGGGCACUAGGUGUGGGUUUCUAUUAACGAAAUCCGCGCCGUCGCUAACGCAUUAAGUGCCCCGCUGGGGAUACGGUGCAAGCUAAAACUUAAGGAAUUGACGG
rnacentral:rRNA from 1 species